GGGUUUGAAAAAAUAACAGAGUGACCCCAGAGAACAAUUUGGCGCGUUCUUAAAAUGCUAAACACAUACUUACCAUCUGACCUAGCAAUCCCAUUCCUAGAUAUCCACACAAAAGAAAUGCAAACACAUGUCCAUAUGAAGCCCUGGGCAAGAAUGGUCAUAGCAACAUAUUUUAUAAUAGCCAGAAACUGGAAACAACCCAAAUAUCUAUCAACUAAUGAAUAAUGGAUAAAUAAAAUGUGGUCGAGCCAUACAAUGGAAACUCCUUAUUCAACAAUAACAAGUGAAGCACUACCGACCUAACACAAUAUGGAUGGAUUUUAAAAACAUUAUAGUAACUGAAAGAACCAAAACCCCCCUAAAUAUUGUAUGAUUUCAUUUAUAUGAAAUUUCUAGAGAAGGUGAAAACUACAGACAGAAAAAUGGUCUCGUUCCCUGAGGCUGGGAGCAGGGACUGAGACUACAAAUGGACACAAGGAAACUUUUUAGGUGAUGAAAAUGUUCUGCAACUCAAAUUGUCAUGAUAGCAGCACAGCUGCAUAAAUUUACUAAAACUCACCUCACACUUUAAAAUGGAUGAAUUUAAUAAAAUGUAAGUAAUACUUCAAUAAAGUCAUAUAAAAAUAAAAUUGACUGAUGGAUAGUAUACGAUAAAGCAAAUGCAGCAAAAGCUUAGCAAUUAUAUAAUCUAGAUGACAGGCAUAUAGAUGCCCACUGUACAACUCUUUAAACUUCUUUGUAUGCUUUCAACUGUUCACAGUAGAUGUCAGGGGGAAAGUCUGCCAAAUUU